rnacentral:sRNA from 1 species
UCCUAAAGAACAUUAUGAUAUUGAGACGUUCUUAUCUUAUCUUUAUCUUUAGAACAAAAAGGCACAAUCAUUUUCAUUUUCUCUACAUGACUACAUGGUGCAACUCUCAUUUUAAUAUAUUAAAAAAUAUACGGAAUUAAUCUUAUGGAAGUCAUUCGGAAUUAUAUGACCAAAAACUUCAAUUUGCAUCCCCAAGAAGAAAAUUAAGUCUAUUAUAAAGCUUUAGUGAUGCUCAGUUUUUCACUUUUUGUAACACCGACCGCCGUUGUUUGUGUGUUCUUAUAUUCGAUGUCAGUCCACAGAUUUUAUUUUUAUCCG